UGACCUCGGAUCAGGUAGGGAUACCCGCUGAACUUAAGCAUAUCAAUAAGCGGAGGAAAAGAAACCAACCGGGAUUGCCCUAGUAACGGCGAGUGAAGCGGCAAGAGCUCAAAUUUGAAAGCUGGCUCCUUCGGGGUCCGCAUUGUAAUUUGCAGAGGAUGCUUCGGGAGCGGUCCCCAUCUAAGUGCCCUGGAACGGGCCGUCAUAGAGGGUGAGAAUCCCGUAUGGGAUGGGGUGCCCGCGCCCGUGUGAAGCUCCUUCGACGAGUCGAGUUGUUUGGGAAUGCAGCUCUAAUUGGGUGGUAAAUUUCAUCUAAAGCUAAAUAUUGGCCGGAGACCGAUAGCGCACAAGUAGAGUGAUCGAAAGAUGAAAAGCACUUUGAAAAGAGAGUUAAACAGCACGUGAAAUUGUUGAAAGGGAAGCGCUUGCGAUCAGACUCGCUCGCGGGGUUCAGCCGGCCUUCGGGCCGGUGUACUUCCCCGCGGGCGGGCCAGCGUCGGUUUGGGCGGCCGGUCAAAGGCCCCUGGAAUGUAACGCCUCUCGGGGCGUCUUAUAGCCAGGGGUGCCAUGCGGCCUGCCCGGACCGAGGAACGCGCUUCGGCUCGGACGCUGGCAUAAUGGUCGUAAGCGACC
rnacentral:rRNA from 1 species